rnacentral:rRNA from 1 species
CAGCAGCCGCGGUAAUACGUAGGUGGCAAGCGUUGUCCGGAAUUAUUGGGCGUAAAGCGCGCGCAGGCGGUCCUUUAAGUCUGAUGUGAAAUCUUGCGGCUCAACCGCAAGCGGCCAUUGGAAACUGGGGGACUUGAGUGCAGGAGAGGGAAGUGGAAUUCCACGUGUAGCGGUGAAAUGCGUAGAGAUGUGGAGGAACACCAGUGGCGAAGGCGGCUUCCUGGCCUGUAACUGACGCUGAGGCGCGAAAGCGUGGGGAGCAAACAGGAUUAGAUACCCUGGUAGUCCACGCCGUAAACGAUGAGUGCUAAGUGUUAGGGGGUUUACGCCCUUAGUGCUGCAGCUAACGCAUUAAGUGCCCCGCCUGGGGAGUACGGCCGCAAGGUUGAAACUUAAAGGAAUUGGCGGG